AGAGUUUGAUCCUGGCUCAGAUUGAACGCUGGCGGCAUGCCUAACACAUGCAAGUCGAACGGAAACGAUGGAAGCUUGCUUCCAGGCGUCGAGUGGCGGACGGGUGAGUAAUACUUAGGAAUCUGCCCAUUAGUGGGGGACAACUCGAGGAAACUCGAGCUAAUACCGCAUACGCCCUACGGGGGAAAGCGGGGGUCUUCGGACCUCGCGCUAAUGGAUGAGCCUAAGCCGGAUUAGCUUGUUGGUAGGGUAAUGGCCUACCAAGGCGACGAUCCGUAGCUGUUCUGAGAGGAAGAUCAGCCACACUGGGACUGAGACACGGCCCAGACUCCUACGGGAGGCAGCAGUGGGGAAUAUUGGACAAUGGGCGCAAGCCUGAUCCAGCAAUGCCCCGUGUGUGAAAAAAGCCUGCGGGUUGUAAAGCACUUUCAGUAGAGAAAAAAAGCCCAAGGGUUUAUACCCCCUGAAUCUUUGACGUUCCCUAACAAAAAAACCUCCCGGCUAAAUUCCGUGGCCACCAACCCGCCGGUAAUAUCGGAAGGGAGCGAGCGGGUUAUCCCGAAAUUACUGGGGCGUAAAAGCGCGGCGGUAAGGCGGGUUUUGUCAAAUCCGGAAGGGGAAAACCCCUGGGCCCUCAACCUGGGGAAAGGGGAUUUCAAUACUGGCCGAAAUUUGAAUUAUUGUUAAAAGGGAAAUGGA
rnacentral:rRNA from 1 species